AUGGGCAAGCCAUGUCUCCAUUUGAUCUAUGAAAUGUGGGAUUCCAUGAUAUAGAAGGUCAAAAUACCCAUCUAUAGGUACUAUAGUCCAGCUUGGAUUAAUGAAGUCCCUGGCCGUAUCAGCCCCAAUGAUGACCAUGAAGUUACAGAAAUGAGAAACAAGUGCUUUCGGAAGUUCUAUCCAGAUCAAGAGGAUUUCAAAACCAUCAAGAAGGAAUUUGCUGAUUUUGCUCUUUUCAUGAAUGCCUUUGAAAAUCCAGAUUCUAUUGAAGAUAGAGCUUUUGAACCUAAACAGUGGUGGGGCACUCAUGGAGAAAGGAAUUGGAGCAGAUAUGGUUUCAUCCAUAGUUCUACAAGAAACAAUCUAACACCUUCUAGAGCUUCCGAUUUGGUGUACACACAUAACAACCAUCGCCUUCUUUCAAGGAAUUCUCAAGCAUUUGAGUCUUUUUCUGGUGUUGGCAUGCUUGAAACUGUAGAUCUUUCACUUGAUGAACCAGAAUUGGAGGAGGAAAUCAUUGAUUCUCUCACUUGA
rnacentral:rRNA from 1 species